UGUUAUAUGCAACGCGCUUCAAACGAGC
rnacentral:sRNA from 1 species